CUUGAUUCUUUGAAAGAGGGACAUCGUUCUGCCUGAAAAGAUACUGGAGGCUGCUACCAACGAAGCUCAUCUCCUUUCCAGAAAAAACAAAGCUGAGCUGCAUUCCCAGAGUUCAAUUUGCUGUUACAACGGAGGCCUGUGGAUUGGGGUUUGAGAUGUGUCUCUCAACCAGGGAGGUGCGUGGUUGGUUAUGUGCACCCUCAGGAACCCAUUUAAAGUUCA
rnacentral:lncRNA from 1 species